GCGAUCAUACCAGCACUAAUGCACCGGAUCCCAUCAGAACUCCGAAGUUAAGCGUGCUUGGGCGAGAGCAGUACUAGGAUGGGUGACCACCUGGGAAGUCCUCGUGUUGCACCU
rnacentral:rRNA from 1 species